AGGCCAACUCGCAUCACUCUCCUC
rnacentral:siRNA from 1 species